rnacentral:rRNA from 1 species
UGAAGCUUGCUUCAAUUGCCGGCGACCGGCGCACGGGUGCGUAACGCGUAUGUAACCUACCUAUAACAGGGGCAUAACACUGAGAAAUUGGUACUAAUUCCCCAUAAUAUUCGGAGAGGCAUCUCUCCGGGUUGAAAACUCCGGUGGUUAUAGAUGGACAUGCGUUGUAUUAGCUAGUUGGUGAGGUAACGGCUCACCAAGGCAACGAUACAUAGGGGGACUGAGAGGUUAACCCCCCACACUGGUACUGAGACACGGACCAGACUCCUACGGGAGGCAGCAGUGAGGAAUAUUGGUCAAUGGACGCAAGUCUGAACCAGCCAUGCCGCGUGCAGGAAGACGGCUCUAUGAGUUGUAAACUGCUUUUGUACGAGGGUAAACUCACCUACGUGUAGGUGACUGAAAGUAUCGUACGAAUAAGGAUCGGCUAACUCCGUGCCAGCAGCCGCGGUAAUACGGAGGAUUCAAGCGUUAUCCGGAUUUAUUGGGUUUAAAGGGUGCGUAGGCGGUUUGAUAAGUUAGAGGUGAAAUCCCGGGGCUUAACUCCGGAACUGCCUCUAAUACUGUUAGACUAGAGAGUAGUUGCGGUAGGCGGAAUGUAUGGUGUAGCGGUGAAAUGCUUAGAGAUCAUACAGAACACCGAUUGCGAAGGCAGCUUACCAAACUAUAUCUGACGUUGAGGCACGAAAGCGUGGGGAGCAAACAGGAUUAGAUACCCUGGUAGUCCACGCAGUAAACGAUGAUAACUCGUUGUCGGCGAUACACAGUCGGUGACU